AGCUUUUUGAAUCCGUGUUGAGAUUUCGUCAGACACCAACCCAUUAGGACUGAUCAGACUUACAACAUAUGUGAAGUU
rnacentral:pre_miRNA from 1 species